rnacentral:rRNA from 1 species
CGCCUCCUAAAGUGUAACGGAGGCGCCCAAAGGUUCCCUCAGAAUGGUUGGAAAUCAUUCGUAGAGUGCAAAGGCAUAAGGGAGCUUGACUGCGAGACCUACAAGUCGAGCAGGGACGAAAGUCGGGCUUAGUGAUCCGGUGGUUCCGCAUGGAAGGGCCAUCGCUCAACGGAUAAAAGCUACCCCGGGGAUAACAGGCUUAUCUCCCCCAAGAGUCCACAUCGACGGGGAGGUUUGGCACCUCGAUGUCGGCUCAUCGCAUCCUGGGGCUGUAGUCGGUCCCAAGGGUUGGGCUGUUCGCCCAUUAAAGCGGUACGCGAGCUGGGUUCAGAACGUCGUGAGACAGUUCGGUCCCUAUCCGUCGUGGGCGUAGGAAAUUUGAGAGGAGCUG